ACACCUGGCGAGAAGAGCCGCAGGACUCAGAGAGGUAAAGGUGUCAAAGAUAUAUUCAGAAUACAUGGCACCCCCAGCACCAGUUGAGUUCAAACCUGGCGUUCCGGACUACAGUUCAGUCCAUGAACCUCUAGGGGAAUUGUUUGAUCCAAUAACAAGUCCAGGGGACUGGAAGAAGUAUCUGCUUAGUGAGGAAAAGGUCGAACAGUUUUGGAAAGAUGGGUUUUUACUGAAUGUUCCACUGCUAAGUCCAGAACAAUGUGAUAGAAUCUUGGAAGACUACAAGAUAUUUAUGGGAGAAAUAACUCAUCCAGGAAUGGACAUGAUGUAUGAAUACCAUAGCAACCAGAGUGGUGAUCCCAACAAUGUUCUGAUCCAUGGCCUUGGACAUUGGAGACUGACAAAGCUCUUCCAUGAUCUUGUCUUUCUCCCUCAAGCUGUGGUUCCAUCUUCACAAUUACUUGUGAAGGGUAAGAGCCUUCCUGUGAGAUUUUGGCAUGAUCAGUUGUUUGCCAAACCACCUCACCAUGGUGGCUGUGUGGCAUGGUAAGAGAGCUAGCUAGCAGCUUACACCCCAACCUAGCCAAAAGGACAAAGCUUGUGCGAUAAGGCUGUCAAACAUAUUAACUAUCUAUGCACAAACUCUGGUACCCUAGCAAGCAAUUUGUCAGCCGGUGCAGCCUUUUACAUGCAUCAGGACUACUCCUACUGGACAAGGACGCAACCCGUGCAGCACAUUACGAUACACAUUGCCUUGGAAGACCAGACAGAAGAAAACGGUACCCUGUACUAUAUUCCAGGCUCCCAUAGGUGGACAAGAGAUGGAAAACCACUGCCCGUGACAGACUUCAAUUUCAAGGACAUGGAAUCCAUCAUGACAGUGUUGACAGAGGACGAAAAGAAAGAGUUUAAACCUAUACCCGCUCUGCUAAAGAAAGGAGAAGCCAGUUUUCACACUGGUAUGGCAGUUCAUGGAUCCUAUGGAAACAAGUCAGCUAGUCCUAGAAGAGCUGCAGUUCUGAACUACUUCGCAGAUGGAACAAUAUCCAACACAGACGAAGACCUAUUAAAGGGGAUCAAGAUCCCCAAGGGUGAAAAAAUGGAUGGACAAUUUUUCCCACUUCUGUUUGAUCCAAAAUGGAUGGAGUGAUUCCCAAAUUUUAAUUUAGGAUCAUUAAACAUGAUGCUUAAUUAAAAACUGCAAUAUUUGACAUACUACCAGUAGUGAUGGAAAAAUUCUGUUUAAUUACCAGGGAGUGAUUAAUAUGAAAAACAAGUAUUUAAAAGGUGGCUUAUUUUAUACUAUUAUUUGUAUGAUUGUUGUAUAUUCCUCAAGAUAAUUAUGUGAUCAGUGUUACAGUAGUACUGGGUUAUACAAUAUGUACAUGUAUUUGACUUGCAACACUUAAUGUAACUCAGCUAGGCAGCCAGUAUGGAGAAUACAUGACAGAAACAAAUAAUUUGUAUUCAUUUGGAAUGUACAAUACCAUUUUAUAUAUAAAUCAGUUAUUGGAUAUAGUUAUACCUCCAUUUUUGAUGGACUGUAUUAUGGUGAACCGGUGCUUGCAAUAUUUUAUAGUCUAGAUGAUCAAGUUUAAUUAAAAUUUUCUGUAAAGCC
rnacentral:misc_RNA from 1 species